UACCGUUGAUGGUUUGAGGAUAAGCAAAAUGCUGGCCACCCACUCCAAACAUGUUUGGAUUCAAGCCUUCUUCAGUGACCUGCCCAUUCCGAGCAGCCAUCCAUGAGACCAGUGCUGAGAGAUACACCCAUGAGCAAUAAACAUUACUGCUAUCAGAAAAUGGAUGGAAAUUAUUUUGGUAACUUCCAUUGAAAUGAAGAGAAAAAUAUUUCAGGCCACUUAAAAGAUGCUGACAUUUGGCCCUGUUACCUGUGAAGAAAGGAUCUUGGCUCUUGCCAAUGAGGACUAGGACUAGUCUUGUGGAAAAGAAGAAACAUCCAUGUAUCCGCAACCAGGUACAAGAGGCCUUAUCACAGCCUCCAUGGUCAAGUGGGAAGGGCCACCCGACACCCCUUCACCACUUCUGUGACAGAAAGUACGGAUGCCCCAGAGGGUUCAUCGGCUAGGUUGCCGCCAGCACCCUCCACCAGCUUAAAUACUGACACCUCGAAAUAGUUGUCAAGAUUUUGCUGCUGUCCACAACAACAGACUGUGCGAUAGUGCAUUUUCAUCAUCAUGAAAUGAAAUCAAAAGUAUCAACAGUGCUUUUGUAUAGAAUACAACUCAGGACUCAAACAAUCACUAUCAUCUCUUCAAUCAAGCACCUAUAUUCAAGCAAAAGUCUCAUCCAUCAAAUUAAGGGACAAUGGUGUUGCUGACCAGGCAGCAUUUGUUGCCUAUCCCUAAUUACCCAGAGGGCAGUUAAGAGUCAACCACAUUGCUGUGGGUCUGGAGUCACAUGUAGACCAGACUAGGUAAGGACGGCAGUUUCCUUCCCUGAAGGACAGUAGUGAACCAGAUGUUUUUUUCCCCAACAAUUGGCUCAUGGUCAUUAAUACAUUCUUAAUUCCAGUUAUUUAUUGAAUUGAAAUUCUACCACCUGCCAUCGAGGGAUUUAAACUCAGGUCCCCAGAACAUUGUCUGGGUCUCUGGAUUAACAGUCCAGCAAUAAUACCACUAGGCCAUUGCCUUCCCUAUAAUGUCCUGUAGUAAAUCCCAAAUCAAAUUAAUGGGCAGUGUUAUUCCAAUUGAAUUUGAUCUAUUUUAGGCUAAUUACCAGUAGAGAAAGAGUUGAAUAAGCAUGUAGUUGAACCUUCGAGGUAAGCUGUGAUGCAACUAUUUCCUCAGUAGUCAUGUGCUUAUACUCUGCUAGAAGGUUGGAGCAUGUAUAGAACAAGAAAUACUGCUCUGUAGCCUUGCCAUCAUAUGCCAUCAUACAGUCUGUUAAUAAACAUAUUUUAAAGGUAACUCAGAUGUCUGGCCUGAGAUUGUGUGUUGAUUCAAACAAUCCAGUUUAGAACAAUUUCCCAGAGUGGAGUUGUCCAUCUAAUAUAAAUGGUAACGCUGACAGUAAGGCAGUUUGACAGACAGAUAACAGGUGCCACUCAAGAACAAAAAAAUUGCCAAUAAUACUACUCCAUGCCAAUA